rnacentral:lncRNA from 1 species
UUUUUUUUUUGGUGGUUUUGUUGUUGGUUCGUAGGUUCUGUAUGGAGUGAUUUCAAUCGCUAAUAUGGCCAAGAAAAACCCACCGCUUUGAUCUAGUUUCAAUGUAGUGGUAGUUCACACAGAGUCUCCCCAUCUCCUUCCCAACGACCCCUCUAAAGUCCAUGCUUCUAUUCUGAGCUUCAGCUGUUCCCAGCUUCGGAAUGCAACGGCCGGUUUUUAUUUAAUUCUUUGAUAUGAGGAACUAACAAGCCAAUUAUUUAUGUACUCCUCAACACAUCUGGAUUGAAAUUAUUACUUUGUAUUUGAUUAUUUGUGAUUCGAAAAAUGUGAAAAAAUUGUAAUUGAAUACACGUGGGAUCAUUCAAGUCUUUCUACAACUUAUAUGAGGUGAUAUCAUACGGAAUUUGUAUUGAAAUCAGUUAAAUAUGAAAUCGGAUAAAACUGAUUGAAUCGUUUAAAAACACAGUCGGUCGAAGUGCAUAAAAUUGAUCGGUGGUUAGGUUAUUUUUUAGUAAAUAUCGCAAUGGUAAAUUUAAUAUGAAAUAUUCCUAGUGGAUGCGCAUGCGGUAAUUCCUAUAUAUAUCCUAAAUUUUCUUGCUGAGAUUACUUAAUACAAUUUGUACUGCCUUUUCCUACAACAGCCACAUAGACAUAGUAGCUUAUAAAUAAACCGUAAUAAGGGCUUCAAAACUAGCUAAUAAGAUGAUUGAUUACAUGUCCAUAACCAAGGAUUUCAACUACAAGACACGUAAAACUUUCACAUGUACAGCUCGCUCUAUAUCAACUCUGUCAAUCUAGCACGUGCUACAACUACUGGGAUAACUGUACGUACUAAAGAGGGGCCGUUGUACAUCCCUUACCUUAACUAAAUUCUCAGCAACCCCAUUCUUCGUAGACCUUUCCCCUAUCAUCGCUCUUCUUUGGUAACUGUUGAACUGUUCCUUACGUUGUUGGGAAAUCUGGCCAACUCCCCAGGAUGGUCCAACGUAAACUGGCUAGGUGAUAUCCACCUUUGUUUGGCAAACGAACAGCUAAGCCGUCCUUGUGUGUACAGAGACUCUGCUGCUGCCUCUGCUGCACGUUGCUUUGUGGCAUCGUCAACAUAUAGAAGGUCCUCGAUUCUCGCCAUCACGUUGAAAGCUAAGCUUUCCAUUACCCUUGAGUAGCUCUCGAUGAUAGCACGCCCUACGUCCUGCAACAAAGGGAGUAAUUAAAUACACAAUAUUACUACAAGGACAUGAGUUUCUUAUAUGAGAGAGUUGGUCUGUCUAGGUACCCUGUUGUGUUGAAUCUUGGUGGUAUCUAAGGAGGUCUGAGGAAGGUCAGGAAACCGGAGUCUUAAGCUGCGUAAUAGAUUAUCUGCCCGUGCUGCCAGCAUUUUACAUUUCGGAGUAUUGUGUUUGGAUUUACCAGUCCAUGUUGAUCUCGCUCCACCACCACCACCCAUAUACUUCCUAAUAUACUUCUGGUUCCAUGUAUGUGCAGCAGCUUCGAUCCGGUUUGCUACCUCAAGAGUGGUGAACUCUGGUGAUAAGUUCAAGUAAUCAAGGAUGAUAUCGGGAGAGAAAUUGUCCGCUGUUAAGUAGCCGUGUAUCGUCUCCCCUAAACAAGCUUGCGGAUUCUGAAAUUUUCACACAAACUAUUUAAACAAAAUGUGGAUUCAAGGAAUCAUAUCAAGGCACUCAGAGAGCUUGCAUUGCAUAUACCUUUGGCAGGCUAUCCAAGUAAGAAGCAGGUAUUUGCAUCUCAGCUAAGACAUGGUUAUUGAUAGCCAUGGCAGCCUUAAGGAUCUGACUGGUGCAUUCCCUACACUGCUGCAAUCUCUUCCUCGUAUCCUCGCACAGCCCGUUUUCAGGAACUUUAGGAAACGGCAGCCACCAUUUCUCCUCCAGUCUUACUGAGGAUGGUUCAGUCCCAGAAGUCAAGGAAGACAUGAAUUUUUUGGUCUCACCAUCUCCACUAGAAACUGCUAUUCCGCGCUCAACAUAACAAAACUCCGAAUCAGAAAACCCGUCAAGAACGUUGAGAAGCAUGGCAUCGAGCUUCUUCAGAGCUGGCACGUUUACAAAUAGAUCCAACCGCGGUUGUGGCACCAUAACUUCGAAAGUGCCACCUCCAGGAACAGCUUGAACCGAUGGAACAAGCUCUACAAUGGAAUCACUUACACAUAAGAACCAUUCCAUCUCACGCCGCCACAUUGCCUUCUUCUGUUCUGGUAACGGUUCCAGCUUCCACAGCUGUCCAAAUACAGAAGCUGCACACCACAAACACACACGCAAAUACCAAUUACACCAACCACGUCAUCAUCAAAUUCCACCUAACCUUUAGUUACAUUUUGAAGAUAACUUACCAGAAAGGUUAGUGAUGGCAUUGGAGAUUGCCAGAGCUGUGCAAACCCCAUUCCCUCCACCUGACAUGUCCUCUCCUAACAGAAGCUUGGCAAAUCGUUCCUUCAUCAAUUCAGUUUCUACAAAAGAAAAUUUUACACGUCGGUUGGACUAUGCCAUGUAGACUAAAAAUGCUUAAUUGUGCGUCGAGUUGCUACAAGUGGUUAUUUCUGCUCCGAAUCUGAUUUCCUCGCUCGUAAAAUCUUAAAAUCACUGUCGAUAACCGAUCGCUUGAAUUACUGAGAGACUCAACAACCAAAAACAGGAGGGCAAACCAGUCCAAAAUGACAAAUCAUAAUUUUCUGAACAGAAAUCAAACGCAAGCAAAGCCGUCAAGAUGUCCCUCAGACUUCAACAGAAAAAUCGGGUGAAAAACAGAGCUCGAUGAACUAACCAGAAAGUUCAGACGCGGCCUUCUUCGGUUGAAAGACAACGUGUCUGCCGCCGACAACGGGCGGCAUGAGAGUGAUCGGCGGGUAACGGUCAUCGAAUUCCAGCGCUUCAGCGAGUUGAGCAGACGAAGAAGACGUGAGGGAAGUGGAACCUCCUCUGCUUCGGUCGCAAUUGCGGCAGGACGAGGACAGGCAGCUGGAACCGCUCUCUGACUCGCUGAUAUCGGCACUGAUGCUGUAGCUGUCGAGCACAAACCGGUCACCGACGUCGUCAUCAGACGAAAUACUCCCCAUUCCCUUUUGCUUUUGAUUUGUCCCGUUGGCUAGAGAUACUGCCUUUCGCGAUGAUCUUCAAUUUAGUUUGAGGGUAAAAGUAUAGUCUGAGGGGACAAAUAAUAAAGAAAGGGAAAGCAGAAUGAGAAAAGAGAAAAAUGAGGAAAAGAUAAAUAAAUGGGAACAAGGAGAGGAAACCGGUUCUCUAAUUUCCAAAGGGGUGAUAUUAUCGUAUUUAUUUCAUUUCCGUUCAUAUUUUAAUAUAAAUAAAUAUAUUGCUAUAAGACGUCCGGUCUUUUACUAUGUAACGCUCUAACAUUUGAAUUUGGUACAUGAAAUGACGUGAAUGUCCCUGCAAUCAAAAUUCAUUGUUAGACGUCACCGUCACUGCCGCCGCUGAGGUACGAAAUUUUAAAAAAUGUGAGUCGCCGUUGAAUUUGGAGAUAGGAUUUAGUGAUUAGGGGUUUAGACAUGGUCCUUGUAUGCAUUCAUGAAGAAACUGAUUAACAUAAUCACAUAUGGUGCUACCUUUCAUGUAAUGAAGACAAUGCCUCCUUUUAUGUAACGUGAGAAGGUUGUCACACUACAUAUACGGAGUAACUAUACUCAAAGACAAUGCCUCUUUUUAUGCAAAUGAUACAUAAUUACUAUGUAUUAUAUAUUCAUCUACUUAACUAUAAUCAUGACUAAUUAUUAAUUUCCAAAAAGUAUUUAACUAAUUACAAAAUUUUACUACUUUCACUACUUAAUUACCACAUUAAAAUAAUAUACUAAUUACAAUUUGAUAAUUGGUUAAGUAAUUGAAUAGUAUACUUAUUAUAAUUUAAUAAUUAGUAUUAGAGUAUUAGAACAGUUAAUUAAAUAUUAUAAUAUAAUUAANNNNNNNNNNNNNNNNNNNNNNNNNNNNNNNNNNNNNNNNNNNNNNNNNNNNNNNNNNNNNNNNNNNNNNNNNNNNNNNNNNNNNNNNNNNNNNNNNNNNNNNNNGAUUCCACAUUUAUUGUUUUAAUUUCGUAUUUCAUCGACGACGAUAACGGUGUUUAACAGUGAAUUUUGAUUUUAAAGGCAUUCGCAUCAUUUAAAAUAUUAAGUUUAAAAUUCUAGAGCGUUUAUAAAUAAACAUUAGACGUCAUAUAACAAUUUAGUUUCCAAAUGAGUUAGUUGGAUGGAUAUUUUUAUGUGACGUGGAAACUUAUAAUUCCUUACACUUUUUUAUUCAUACUUCGAACUAAUGGUAGAUUACUAAUAUCGGAAAUUUAUUAUUAUAUUGGGUAGAAUCGUUGCUUUAUUAUUUAAUUUACGAAAUAAGAAGCUAACAGUGAAGGGAAAGUCUUGAUAAUUUGCACGUGAGACGGAACUGAGAAAUCUCAAUAGAAUUAAUUUCAAAAAUAAAAAAAAUACGCCCAAUUAUUAAUAAUUUUGGCGGAGGAUUGGAGAUUUGGCGAAAUCGUGGAGUGGGCAGGGCAAUGGGAAUGCUCAAUGUUGGCGGUGAGUGGAGUAAAGCAUACACCAACCAUUAACAACGUUGCGGGUACAGUGCCUUAUUUCAAUCGGGCCCACGAGUUGUUUAGUGGGUCAGGCCUGGGCUCGCAACAGAGCAGUAUAACUAUAUAUGGAAAAUAGGCGGGUAAUGCUCAUAAUUGAUGGAUAAAUAAGAAGCCCAAUUUUGAACGGGCCCCUACAUGGACCAGUUUGCUGGUUGGUGGAUUCAUCAAAGUGGGUGGUUUAUAGUUUAAUACAUGCAUGGAAUGGAAGGAUGUAUUAUUGGUUUUCACAUACUCACAACCGCUUUUGUUUAAUUUCCGAUUUUAGUCCUCAAAUUUUACUAUUUUACGACCCGAUUUCACUAUAAAAUCGCUAGACUUUUCACCUGAUCAAAAUCCUUAAAAUUGGGAAAAACCAUUUUUAACUCAAUCAACCUUGGUCUGGCUUGGCAAUUGGCUCAUUGGUUUAUUUUUUCAUGAUGCCCAGAUAAUUUGAAGUUUAACAACAACUUUGAGAUUGUUCUCAUGUUUGUGAAUUGAGUUUAAUUGGUUGUUAUGUUUGGUUACUCAUAAUUGAUAAAAAAAAUUCAAAUUGAAUACGACGUUAAUUAUAUUGAUUGCUGAUGGUUUAUAACUUAACAUUAAAUUACAUAUUUUGAAAUGAAAAAUUAGACAAAUAUUUUCGAUUAUUAUUAUACAAAUCAACAUAAAGUAUUGUAUCAUACUCAAUCUCCCGCUGACUCGGUUUAUAACUUAACAUUAAAUUACAUAUUUUGAAAUGAAAAAUUAGACAAAUAUUUUCGAUUAUUAUUAUACAAUUCAACAUAAUGUAUUGAAUCAUCCUAAAUCUACCGUUGACUUUUUAUAUAUUAGUAAAGCAUUUUUAAAAACACGAAAAUAUUUUUUAAAAAAUUCAAUGAAUCGAUGAAACCAAAAUAUCCACGUAGGAAAUACCACAUCUAGACGGCAAGAUAUCCAAGGAGUAGAAGACAAAAGACAACCUCCCACAAUCUUGUAGUUUAAUCCAAUUCAAGAGAUGAAACCAAAUGACGACACUACUUUGACGGAACACUUCGGGCGGGCAAUCCAGGGUGAAAUAGUUCCAUUGGUGCAAACCUAGACCAUAUAUGUAUCGACACCAUGUUCUCAUCCUUAUUCCAUCGCUACUAUUCUCACCUUCUCAUUCUUAAUCUCAAUCCCCGCUUUUCUCGACGUCUUCUCUGCCCCCAAGUCUCCUUUUAUUCAAACUCUCCUUCCCUCUCCAUUUCCAAUCCUUGCUCAGUUCUUCGAUUCCCACCUACCAACCAACCACCAACUCCUUCUUCUCGAUCCUUUUCUUCCCUAUCCUUCUCCUCCGCAAUGGGCUCCCUCUCCGCUCUCGACGGUGGAGCCUGCUUGACCUACCCUAAAACCCGCAGGGAUGACUCCGUUGUUGAUGACUUCCAUGGCGUCAAGGUUUCCGAUCCUUAUCGAUGGUAAAAAUCAAUAACCGGAGGAGCUGUUUUUUUUUUCUUUUCCUUUUUAAGUUUUCGAUUGCAUUCUCAUUAUUUGGUGGUUGCUAGGCUGGAGGAUCCUGAUUCGGAGGAAACCAAAGCUUUCGUGGAAGAGCAGGUUCAGCUCACAGAUUCCGUGCUGAAGACGUGUGAGGCGAGGGAGAAGCUUAAGGAGAAGAUUACCAAGCUCUUCGACCAUCCCCGUUAUGAUGCUCCCUUCAAGCGGGGCGACAAGUAUUUCUACUUCCAUAACACCGGCCUUCAGGCCCAGAGCGUCCUCUACGUUCAGGUAAAAACAACAGUAUAUGGAUAGGGGAGAUGUAGGAAUCUUACAGAUGUUUAAUUAAAUCAAGCUUCUGGGGGGAUGUUUGCUCUAUGACAUAUUUUGACAUGGAUUGGAACAGGAUGGUUUGGACGGAGAGGCAGAGGUUUUGCUCGACCCCAAUGCAUUGAGCGAGGAUGGUACUGUGGCCCUCGCCAAACUUACAGUUAGUGAGGAUGGCAAGUACAUGGCCUACGGGCUUAGCUCCAGCGGGAGUGAUUGGGUAACCAUCAAACUCAUGCAUAUUGAGGACAAGCGAGUUGAGGCUGACACAAUAUCUUGGGUGAGCAGAAGCCAAAGUUCCUGUCUUUCUAUUUAAUCUGUAGAUAUAUUGGUGUCAGAGAGUUUGAAGUUCUGAGCUUUUGUUUUUGGUUCGCAGGCAAAGUUUACGAGUAUCAGUUGGACACAUGAUAGUAAAGGAUUCUUCUAUUGCCGUUAUGCUGCUCCCAAGUACGUUUGUUGUUUUCCUUGCACUUGUAAAAAUGUUUGCACUUUCUGUUUGGUACAUUGAAUAUUUUAACUGAUUAAGGUUGGCUUUGUAAUAAUGGGUUUCAACGAUCCUAGGUUCAUAUCCUGGCAUCAAUACAUAUAAAUUGGUUUGGUUGUGUUAGUUUUCACUAUUUAGACGGAUGAAUUGGGGAAAGAAAGGAUUUUGAAUCUAUUAUAAGGAAAAGGUUGAUGGAUGGAUGGAUGUUUGUUAUCAUUCAUUAAAUAGGGUUAGUUAUUAACUGGUUUUCUGGGAUUGUUAUACAGAGAUGGAGAAAAGUUAGAUGCUGGGACAGAGACCAAUAUUAAUCUGCAUCAGGAAGUGUAUUAUCAUUUCUUGGGUACAGAUCAAUCCGAGGACAUUUUGUGUUGGAAUGAUCAAGAAAACCCCAAAUAUCAAUUCGGAACAGAGGUGGCUAAGGAUGGCAAGGUAUAGUUUCAGCUGAAUGCUCUUUAAACGUUUUGGUUUUUGGUAUACUUGCUUAUUUCGGUUGGUUUUUUGUUGUCAGAAAAUAAAGCCAACUUUUUUUAGUUGGAUUCUUGUUACUGAUAUGAUUGGAUCUUUAUAUUUGUUAGAAUAUGUUUUCCCUGCAAACAAAGUACAGUAUUCAGAUUUCUCAUGGUUCUUCAAAUCUGCUUUAUGUUUAUAACUUAAUUGAAUCGACAAGUCAAUUGUAAUUAGGUUUCCCAUAUCACCUAUUAGCCUACCGGUGUGAUUCAACUAAUCGAAACCAAACAGAUUCCUAGCCUCGUUGAAUUUACAAACUGCUUAUGCACUGGUGUUAUUUUCUGCAGCAUCUUUUCCUGUAUACCUACGAUGGGUGUGAACCGGUCAACAAAGUGUACUACUGCGAUAUGUCUACACUUCCAGGAGGCCUAGCCGGUUUCAAGGGAGGAAACAGUCUUCUCCCUUUGACUAAGCUUGUUGACAACUUAGAUGCACAGUAUGAUGCCAUUGCGAACGACGGCACCUCAUUUACAUUCAUGACCAACAAAGAUGCACCUAGAUAUAAACUAGUGAGGGUGGAUUUGAAGGACCCAAAUUCGUGGACUGAUGUUGUCCCCGAAUCUGACAAGGAUGUAUUGGAAGCAGCAUACGCUGUUAAUGGAGAUCAAUUGAUAUUGAGUUACCUGAGUGAUGUUAAGCAUGUGUUGCAGAUAAGAGACUUGAAGACAGGAUCAUUUCUGCAUCAGCUGCCAAUUGGCAUCGGCUCUGUUACUCGAGUGUCUGCAAGAAGACAAGACAGCAUAGCAUUUAUUGGCUUUACUAACUUUCUUUCCCCUGGCAUCAUCUACCAAUGCGAUUUUGGAUCUGGGAAUCCGGAAAUGAAGAUAUUUCGGGAGAUCAGUGUACCUGGAUUUGAUCGCUCAGAAUUCGAAGUGAAUCAGGUGACUUUCUCCUUUUCUUUGAGUGUGGAUUGUAACUCGUUUUUGAACUCCAACCUGUUGCUUAAAUUAGAAACCGAGGCAUAUGGUGUUCCUUACCUACUGGCUACUUGUGCUCGUUUGGUUUCAGGUUUUUGUGACUGGUAAAGACGGCACUAAGUUCCCAAUGUUCAUCGGUUCCAAGAAGGAUAUAAAACUGGAUGGAUCGCACCCAUGCUUGUUGUACGGAUAUGGUGGAUUCAAUAUCAGCAUCACUCCAUCUUUCAGUGUGACUCGGAUAACACUGGCAAAGCAUUUAGGUGUGGUGUUCUGCAUUGCUAACAUUCGCGGUGGUGGAGAGUACGGUGAAGAAUGGCACAAAGCAGGUUCGCUUGGCAAGAAACAGAACGUCUUUGAUGACUUCAUCUCUGCUGGCGAAUACCUCGUAUCAGCAGGAUAUACCCAGCCCAAUAAGCUCUGCAUUGAAGGCGGAAGCAACGGUGGUCUCCUUGUUGGGGCAUGCAUAAAUCAGGUACGCAUUUAGCUUAUAUCUUCCAGAAACCAUUUUUACUGCCGAACUAAUAACCACUAUUCUUGUCAGUAUGAUUCUGAUGGAAAGUUUAAACUAUUUACGUUGUUGUAACAGCGGCCUGACCUUUUCGGGUGUGCUCUGGCUCACGUUGGAGUGAUGGACAUGCUGCGAUUUCACAAGUUUACGAUAGGUAACAGAGAAAGCUCAAAUUCAGUUUCACUUCCACCGUCUUAUGUACGCUUCGCAUCAUUUCUCUCAACUGAUGAUAUCCUUCUUCUACAGGUCAUGCUUGGACAACCGAUUAUGGAUGUGCAGACAAGGAGGAAGAGUUCGAUUGGCUGAUCAAGUAAGAGAAGAUUCUGAAACGGAAACAAAAAAAAAACCCUGAUCUUCGUACAUAAUGAUUACUUAUAUCCGCAAACUGGAAAUGUUAGGUACUCUCCACUGCACAAUGUGAGAAGGCCUUGGGAAGCGAACCCGGAUCAGCAGGUUCAGUACCCACCUACCAUGUUGCUGACAGCCGAUCACGAUGACAGGGUCGUGCCGUUACACUCGCUGAAACUGUUGGCGGUGAGUGAUUCUUCCGUUCAGGUUCAUUUCCUUUGGGGUUUAAACGCAGGGUUUAAUUCCGUUUUGUGUGUGUGUGUGUGCAGACGUUGCAGUACGUUCUGUGUACCAGCUUGGACAAGAGUCCCCAAACCAACCCAAUCAUCGGCCGGAUUGACAGGAAGUCCGGCCACGGUGCCGGACGUCCGACUAAGAAAAUGGUAUUGAGAGAGUAAUUUCAUUUGAUGUCUGGUGUAUGGUCGCUAAUAAGGUCUGACCUUUGGUGUUAUUGCUGUAUUUGUGAAAUUACCAGAUUGAGGAAGCGGCAGAUCGGUAUGGAUUCAUGGCUAAGAUGGUGAAUGCGACGUGGACCGAGUAGAAUAUAAUUGUUUGUAUCUGUAGCACGUUUUCUUUUCCUAUAUAAUAAUAAUAAAAUAUGGAUCUCAUGCUUGUUUUCUCGGUCACAUAUUAUUAGGUAGGCGAAAGCCAAAGCAUAACAUGAUUAUAAACAUUACUUGGACGGUCCCAAUUUUAUGGGAAGUAACGACUUCCAAACACCUUCUACCACCUCUAGCAAAACUUGGCUGAGACUUCAUUGUCGCAGGUGAAGUUUCGACAGGGUCCAGAUGAAUUUAUGAGUUCUUCAUUUUUUAUGCCCCAAUCAUUCUCUUAGUUGGAAUUGAGGGGAAGAACAAUGGUGCAAUACACAUGGGAAAUGCUACUAUAGUGGCAUCUCGUAUAGAAUCUAAACUGUAAUGGAACCAGAUGUUUCAUCAAUAACUAUGGUGGUAAAUAAGAUGGAAAAUUCAUCUUUGUUUCCAUUUCCGAUUACACUUUUGCUUGUCAUGAAAGCAAACAAUUCAAAUGGUAAAAGAUUCUAUGAAUGAUAAACCAAGUUGUAAUUUCUAAUUUGCACCUCAAACGAACUGAUGGUAGAAGAGUCACGCCCAAGAGACAGCCAACUAAAUUAGGCUUUAAUAAAUAAAUAAAAAGGAAGAGUACUAAUUUGCAUUAGUCAAACCUUCAUACGGGCAGCAAAGAUCAGAAACCAUCCAUUUUCACGUCCGUAACAUCCAACUGCAAUAUCUCCGCUCUACAUCCCAAAAUCGACCCGAUGCUGUCAAACAACCAAAAAAAACUUAAGUUAGCAGUUGCUAGCAACAGGCACAGUCCAAUUUGAAGACUGGAAAAGAGAGCUAAGACUUUACCUUGGACUGGUGCGGCCAAAAUCCCCAUGAACAAAUUCCUUGAUAUAUGUCCCAGCCUGUUUUUAUUACCAGUGUCAGGUAAGCUAAACAUCGAGAUAUGUCAUCAAUAUGAAGCUUUCUCUAAAAGAGCUCCAACGGCUAUAGCAGGGAAAGGAGGUCAAGCAGAAAGGAGAUUGCGCAAGUUAUUUAAUGUCAAUUGAGUUUCCAACAGACAGCAAUAUAGAAUAAUGCAUGCUUCUUGGUUCGCUGGAUAAGAUGCAUAUUUCCUUGACAAAUACAUCACCAAAUACACCAUACCUGUGUGCACAAGUGUAGCAGAAAAUAUUGAGAACUUUCAGCAACCCUCUCGAUUUUCAUCCUACAGUAUUAGCAGAAGAGGAAGGCUCGUUAGCAUCUCGGAGGUGGGAUUAGAUAGAAGCACUACAAGCAUAGAGAAAAUGUAACGCUGAUAAUCUUAUGUUGUUUAACAACCAGUGUAUCAUCUUUUCACGAUCUAGAGGACUUCGCCGAUGAAGCACCCUUAUUGGGGUCCUUUGUGAAAUUUUCUGCACAAUCAGCAAAUGACUUCAACAAACAUAACAAUGGAAGUCCUUUAUGUUGUUGAUCUGAGAACCGCUUUUAUCUUUACAGUGAAAAGAAAACAGGUUAGAACUUUUACCAUAUCCUUCAGUGUAAUUAUAGACUGCACGUCUUGAUCUUCAAGUGGGCGUGAAAUCCACACUAAUGAACAGUAUUGUUUCUGCGUGAAAUGAAUGCAAAAGGGAAAAAUAAUAAGUAAGAAAGGCUAUGCAGAACCGGAGACAUAGGCGUCGCGUAUAAGUGGCAGAGGAGCGACAAAACACCUGCUUUUCCGAUUCACCUUCAUGCAUUAAACCCCAACCGUUAUUAGCUUCCAAUUUAAGAUUUCUCACUGCAACCUACAGCACGAGAUGUUUCGUAUUUGACACUGAGGCACAUGAGGGCGAAUGAAUAAACACCGUAUAAGAUGGUGAAUUUGAAUACACUAACCAAUUUUUUCUCCAUGUUGUUUAUUUUUAUUUCUGUUUCUUUAAUAAUAGCCUCCGAUGGAAUAUUUCGUGCAUUUUGUAUUUCAACCAAGAAGGGUCUACCUGAACCCAACAUCCGCACCUGAAAACCAAAAAAGACGGCAUUCCACUCAGACAAUGAAAAAAAAGAUAAGUAGGAAAAAGAGAACAGAGAGGAGGAGACAAUAUCAUGUACAUCAAUAUCCUCUCUGCCAGCAGCAUGGAACUUGUAACUGUCACCUUGACAAGCGGGAAGUAUGUUGCUUCCUAUUAUUUCCUGCAUUAGUACUCUUAAAAUUGUUAGUCUAGUUCAUCAUUGUAUAACGAGAAUUUCUAACAAAGCAUGGGGACAAUUCACAAGCACCAGUACCUCGACAGAGGAUUCUCCCAUUCUUUCAUCAUCAAUAAUCCAACGUGUUUGACUAACAUUUCUUGAGAACUGCAUAAAGUAAGCAACCCUUCAUUGUAGCAUACAUCAAUAUUCCAUUUCUUAAUACCGUUAUACCGCAUGACCCUACUACUACACACCUUGAGGUAUCUCCCACCGAAGUAGACAGAUGUUCGGUAGCAAUGGAGAGCCAUGUAGUAGGGUUCAUCGACCUGCAAAGGUGGAACAGAAAACUUAAUUAGGGAUGCCACUACAUACAGCCAUCAAAAGACCACAUAACCAAGCAACAAUUCUUCAGGAAGAAAAAAAGCAUUUACUAAACACCAGUUACUUCUCACCAAAAACGAAGCUCUUCUUAAAACAUCUUAGAAAGAUAUUGUUUUGACAAGCAAUCAACACCAAGGACCAAUCUUGAGUUUACAAGUUAAGACAACGGGAAUACCUUUCCCAAAGGAAACUUGAAGAUCUCUGAAGACUCAGAGCUGUUAGAAGAUCUGUCACUGACUGCAUUCACAUCAGCUGCAAAGAAAUAAUAAACAGAAAGAACUGAUCAGUAACACAUGCAAAAGGCAUCCAUUUGCUGAGUACUAAUUCUUGCAGCUGUACUGACUACAAGCCGUCAUAAAUCUAACUAGCAUUUAUUGAAUAUUGGGUGUAACAUCAAUGCAGCGAAAGCAGAAUUGUGUGGUAAUAGUGCCCACUAGAAAUGAGUUGAACUGUGAGCAGAAAGUGAUACACAGUUCUUGUCUUAAAAGUUGAACCAGAAUUAACACACCCCAAUUCAUCAGUUCUACUUACCCAGUUUUCUUCUCUUGCAAGCUUCAUUUCUUUCUCCUGGAGACUUAGCCAUACAAGAUGACUUUAUUUGACUGUACGUGAGACGGAUACGGAAAGAGCUUGGAGUAGAGCUGGAUUUAACAUUCUGCAAAGCUUCAAUUUGGUAAAGACUAAAUGGAGAUAUGAACAUUGUUAGAAUUAAACAGGCAGUUUCUCAGCAAGAUGCGACUUAUGCCAUUAUUACAUCAUAACAAAAAUCUGUAUGAGCAAACCAUUAAAGCAGUAUAAAAAGUUGUACUCACCAGCAUACUUUCAAGAGGAUUAGUUAUUGCCAGUUUUAGGGCAUCCUUAGCAGAAACACAUUUUAAAGUCUCUUCUGCAAAACCAAGCUCUGGUCCAUACUUCCUCUUCAUAUACGACCUACGAGAACAUAAAUUAAAAGCUCUAGCCAUGGUGAAGCAACAGAAGAUCACAUCAACAAAGUACAAUAUAAAACAUAAUUGACUUCGGUGGCUUCAGUUGAGAUUGAUGAUGGUUAUAGUUGCUUUUAUUCACAUAUAAAUUCCCAUGCCAAACAUAAAUUUCUCAUAUGUUUAUGCAAAAUCCAAGCUCCAGGAGAAAGGAGACUGCUCUUACCAGACUACAUCAUCAUUUUCAGAGAUGACAGGCGGUACCGACACUUCAAGGGAAAAACUACUGAUCUCAUGACCCUCUUGCUUUACGAGUUCAGCAACCGAAGCAGCUAAGCAGUCAGCACUCACCUUUUGCACCAGUAUGUCUUUAUCAUCCCGAUAAAAGUACUGCAAAAUGCCUAAACACAUCCUGCAUACAAUCGGUUGAACUUCUGAUUCCUUACAUGUAGAAGGAUCCGUUGCCUUCUCCUCUCCUCCAUUACAUUCAAAAAGUAUCCCGUACUGGUCCAAAUAUUCAGAUUCCCCAAGAACAGAAUGCACCAUAGAUUUUGAAAUAUAUGGACGAAAGUAAAUGUGAUCUCUGAAUCCAAACAGUCUGAGGAUGCAUCUGAUGCAGACCUGAAACAGAAUGAAAGGCCAGUUAAAAGUAAUCCAAUACAUUAUAGUUAAAGCCACAAAGAACGACAUCCGCUGAUUGCAGUGGAGCAAUGCUGGGUAAUUUUAAGAAACCUAACUCCAUAGACUUUCAAUUGCCUCCAGCAUUGUCACAGACAUCAAUCAAGAACGAAAUUCAGACGUAACAAAGAACGAAACAUUCCUCAAUACCAGAAGCACCUGAGCGAGCGCUCCCACCGUCGCAAACUUAAAAGAGUAUAAGACAAUGAACCUUCCUAAGAGUACCAUAAACAUUCGCAAAUACUGACAGUUUAUCAAGCGAUCAAAUAUUCGGCAUGCAAAAUACUGCCAAAGUAGAACUAACGAAACUGGAAUCCACUAGCUAAGCCGACGAACGAAGAACAGCUUAAUCUAGCUUCUCAUAUGAGAUUGGGGGAGAGCGAAGCGAACCUCAGAGGUCAACAAGUCCUUGACGGCUUCAGGAGGCAAGGAACGAAUGGCGUCUGCGAGGAGUCCCGCCUCCUUGUCAUUGCCUCCCGCGACGUAGUUCGCUACCGCCACCUCCGCUGCGGUGGUUGGUGUGUCGGACAGAAGUUCAGCUUCUUUUCCCCCUGACAUUCUUAUGAAACUCGUCGCUCUGGGAGUAGCGGCGACCAGCGAGUAUUCGGAACCUGUCCCGGCGGAACUCUAACUGGUGGCGGCUGUUUAUGGAGCCGCAGAUGGUGGAGAGAGCUGAGUGAGGGUGAUGGGUCGCGAUGGUGGACAGAGAAGAAUUAAUUCUCCUGACCGAAAGUAUUGAUUGGAUUUAGGAAUUUCAGCAGGCCUACUUAUAUAAAAAGAUGUAUUUGUUUCUCAGAAAACGCAGUGGAGGCAUGUUUUCUUCCGCCGCUCUCCUCCGGCGAUUCUCUCUCUUCCAGAGAACUAUGACGUCCUCUAACACUAUUUGAGUCUACAGAAGAACAAUCAAAGGUAAGUUUUUCCUAGUUCCUACUUUGGGUUCCUUUUUCAUUAUGGAGUUCGUGAAAGGAAAAGAAAAACAUUCAGAUCCAAGCUUACUGUUUUCAAUCGAUUCGAAACUCGAUGGUUAAUUUCAAAUUGUGGUUUGAUUGAUUUUGUUAGGAAGGAGGACUGGAUUGGAUCAGUGAGUUACCUGAUGAACUACUUGUGAAAGUGGUGUCCCGUUUGAGCAUGAAGGAAGCAAUCAGAACUUCAGCAGUCUCGAGAAGGUGGGAAGAUUUGUGGAAAUUUGCAGACUUGGAAUUGGACUUCGAUGCUACCGAUGAGUUGGUUGCAGAUUAGCUAGGACUCAAUUUCAGUUUACCUCCUGAACAGAAACAGCGGUUCCACAAUCGGGUGAAUGGGGUUGUGAUGCAGAUGAUGCAGACCCCAAAACUAGGCAAAUUUAGAGUCUUUUACCAGUUGAGUAAAGAAGAAGCCUCCAAUUCCAAGGAAAUGGAGGAUAUUGACACAUGACUAGACUUCGCCAUAUCGAAAAGAGUCGAGUCUCUCCAUCUAGCGGUCAAUCUCACCCAUCCCGGCCGCAUACCUCACUGAGAAAUGCUUCAAACACGUCCAGCUAAUCAGCUUAGAUCCUUACGAUUGGGCUAUGUGGACGUCUCGGGAGAGAUUCUCGAGCAUUUCAUCGCUAGCUGUCCUCUCCUCGAAGAGCUAGUCGUAUGUUCUGAUGCCCUAACGAAGCUCAGAGUGGUGGGUGGUCGGCGAUUGAAGUACUUGGAAAUACGAAGGUGCAGGAGUUUGAAAUUUCUUGAGAUUGAUCAUGCACCUUGCCUCACUUCCUUUGUAUAUGAUAACAACCACCCUGUGGACGAGUUUCGAGUGGUUAACUGCCCGCUUCUUGUGGACUUGGUUCUACAUUUCAGUCACUACAAUCCGGGACCGACGCUUUGAUAUUUUUCCAGCUAUGCUCCUCAGCUGGAGGCCCUUGGCCUGGAAAUAGUGCCCCAGUACAUGCCGCUGGUUGAUGAGGUGGUGGAACACACUCGCCUUGAGCGGCUAAGAGUGGGAGUUGUGGUUGAUGGGAAUAGCUAUCUUCUUAGAUUGAUUCCCUUGAUCAAUGCUUGUCCUCGUUUGCAGACGCUGCAAUUGUUCGUAAGUGUUGUUUUCUAUUUGAUUUUCAAAUUUUGAAACUUGGGAUCUAUUGCCCUUUCCUCACUGUGGGUCUUUUUUCUUCUUCUUGUUUGUGAGUGCAGUUGCAUACUUACCCUGGCACACACGACUUUCGUCUAGACGUGAUCGAUGUAGUUAAAGUAAGCCAGGAGAGCAUUAAAGUGGUGGAAAUAGUUGGAUUUCAUGGCUACGUCAUGGAGCGUGAGUUUGUGGAGUAUGUGAUGAAGUAUUUUGUGGGUUUAAAAAGAAUAGUGAUCGAUCGAUGCCUGACUCGUUUUACAAGUUUGUCUUAUGCUGCUGAUUCAGUAUCCAAAGGAACCCAGACUUCAUGCACCAAAGAGCAAGCACAUGAAGCUGAAAAGCUGGCAUUGGAGUACAAAUCGAGAGCACCCGCAAACCUCGAAUUUGUUGUAAUUUUGUAGUUAUUUCUUUUUAAUCUAUCUUUGAUGUGUUACUAUUCCAGAUGUUGCAUUUGAAAGCUAUUCGAGUAAUUAUAAUUAUUUGUACAUCGAAUGGGGAAGAGACUCCAUAUGUACAAUGUAAGAUUGUUUGAUGGAAGUACACUCUGUUAAGAAUUUGAUAAUAUAAGAGAAGUAAGUUAAGAAUUUGCGUUUCUUGAUCAAAUAUCCCAGUUUUUCUGCAGUACACUCAGAGCUAAACCUUGCUUACCUUCUUUGCUCGGUCCAAAGAAGACUUGUCUGAAGUUAUAAGUACUUGGAACGAUCUUACUUUCCAUCAUUUCACACAAGUGCAGAGCCUGUUCAGACUACUCGAAAACGUGGAAUCCUUUUAUGCACCAUUGGAGGUCUCUUCAUCAAUUACAGUAGGAAGUGGCCUCUUUAGUGCAUUGGUUUUCGAAUUCUGGACAAUGAAGAUGGCCUUUUCUAAAGUUUCUACGCAUGUUUCAGCUCGCCAGCCUUGAUAGCCUUUCGUCUUUAAACGUAGAAACAAUCUGUGAAUGCCUGGACAAAUUCUUCAUCGUCCUUCUUACAUAAGCCGGUCACUCACUACCUAUAAUAAACAGUUGCAAUGAAGUACUCGAACAUAGAAGUCUACGUUUGAUCAAUGCAAGCUCAAACAUAUGGACGACGGGAUUCCAUGUUCCCAUAACAAAGUCUAACCUUCUGAUAAAGUUUGAAACCACUUAAAAUUAUCUGUCUUGAAACCACUUUCCAUCCAUCUCUUCCAUGUCAAAUCUAUUUCCAGCUUAAACCUUCUACGAUCCGAACAUAUGAGAAAUGCAGUUACAUUUCUUAAGCUAUGAUUACGUCCUGAUCAUAGCCAAAGGUAACACAAACCCUGCAGAGAGGAAAAGGGAAAGCAAACCUUUGGAUCAACUCAAAUAAUUUCAACACAAUUCGAUACUUCAUUUUCUCCACGGACAGUCCAAACCCGGCGACAUGUUCUUCAUCAUCCUUCUUACAGAGAAGAAAAGGUAAGGAUCUGCCAAUGCCUGGACAUAUUCUUCAUCAUCCUUCUUACGUAAGCCAGUCACUACCUAUAAUGAACAGUUGCCAAUAACUCUUUUGACAGCUCAAACUCAAUUUAAGCUCCGUUUUGGUAGCCAGCUUUACAAGCCAAUUUUUUUAGUUCUUGAGGUGAGGCUAGGUGAAUUUAAUCUUUACCAUGAGUAGACUGACCCAAUUCCGAUUUUUCCAUUAGUGGGCCAACUGACUGAUUUUCUAUUUUGGUUUCACUUAUAGUUUUAAAUUUUUGUACGAUAGGUCAUUAUAUUUAAGAUUUUACAUCAUGUCUUUAUAAUCCGUUUGUGGCUGCAUAGGAAAUCUAUCAACUAGUUUCCAAUCAUUUACCCCAUAAUUGUCCGUAGUGGAUGCCACUUCAGUUUGUGGGGCCAAACUUUAAAAAAAACUGAAAUCUUUCUCCGCCAUCUCGCCACCACCUUUCCAAAACUCCAUCUCCUCCUUCUCGAUCCGACUUUGGUCAUCUUAAUCCUCUAUUUUGUUUCUUCUCGUUGUGGCGAAUCUAAUCCUCCUACUCUGUCGCCGCAACAGCAGCCGUCAUCCACCAAGUUUGUCGUUGUUACGGCAAGCUUGGUAUGUGACGACGGUGACAGAGUAGGAGGAUUCGAUUCGUCACAACGAGAAAAAACAAAACGAGGUUUGAGAUGAUCGGAGCUAGAGUAGUAGUUUUCUCUUUUCCCUUUUCACUGAACUGCAGGAGUUGGAUUGAAGAGGAGGUGAUGAGUUUCGGGAAGGUGGUGGCGACGAUGGUGAAGAAGAGAUGGAUUUCUGUUUGUUAAGUUUGGCCCCGCAAGCUGAUGUGAUAUCCACGUGCGUUAUUACCGGGUGGAUGAAUGAAAACUGGCUGAAGGACUUUCUAUGCAGCAAUAAACAGACUAGAGCAUACGGUGCAAAAUCUUAAAUAUAGUGGCACACCGUGUAGUAAAAUUUUACUCGAUUUCAAUCAUUUUUUGUCAAAAUAGACCGAAACUCUCGAUCAAUAUAAGAUAGAAGACAUCAAAUACACACAACAGGGUGUCCAUUUUAUGGGGUAUUUUUAUCACUCUUACUUUAUACUAUAUUUAUCUCGAAGUUAAUUUCUUCUUUUUCCAAUGUAGUAUUAAAAAACACAACUUUUUGAAAAAUUCUUUAAGACUUCAUUUAAUACGUGUGAUAUUGAAUAUCAUGAUAUUUGAGAUAUCUAGAUAUUAAUAAAUAUUGAUAUUAGAGGUGAAAAAUGUGAAAUCGUUGAUUGGUUUAUGAUAUUAGGUUAAAAAAUUCAAUUACAUAUAUGCCCUCAUCUUCCACCUUCCUUCUCUUUCCAUCGCUUCCUUCCUGUAAAUUGAUCAUAUACUCGUCUGAGCAUGAUGAACAAUUUUUAUUCAUCAAGUUGUGUAUAUUAAAGAAAGGAACUGUACAGGAAAAAUGAACCAAACAACAAAAACAUCCCUAUACCAAAACCUUCACCUGAGAAAAACUAUACCUGUAAAACAAUUCUUACUCCUUAACGAAAUCGGGCAAGUACCAUUACAAUUUUAACUAUGAAAUUGAAAACAACAAAAAAAAUCAACUCUUGCUGUUAUCCCCGGCUGAAAGACAGAGGCCAUUCAACGAGCUUGAGAAGGUUGUUCGCCGUCCUCCUUCUGUAAAAGUCGAAGGCCUGGUCGAAAGGUUGAAGGCCAACCAUGGAGCUUCCUUUUAAUUUUUGGAGACAAGAGUCACAGAGGGAAGAUAAUGGUGCAGGAGAGAGAAGAUGAUGGACUAAUUGUGCAGGAGAGAGAAGAUGAUGGUGCAGUAGUGGACCAGUGGCAGCAAUACACAUAAAGUGAAGGGUUAUUUUGGUAAAAAUUACCGAUAUCAAUAUCACUUUCGAGCGUAGGUGAAUUUUUCGAAAGUGAUAUUGAUAUAAUUUUUAAGGCGAAAUAGCUAGCUAUUCGUGACUUGGAAAACAAUGAUUUUAUGAAUAACUAGCUAUCACUAGAUAUCAAACCCAAUAUCUAGCAUAUACCAAACAAGACCUAAUAUCGCUCCAUAUAUCAAUGUCAUGCAUGACACUGAAGAAAGCAGGGAUCAUCUUGCACUCUACACAAUACAACAAGCAUCCAACAAUAUGAGAAACAUUUCACAAUCCAUUCUAACUACCUAAUUGGAGAGUUCACAAUUUUAACUUGUUCAUUGGAAUAAGAAGCAAGAAAAGGGAACUAGUACAACUUAGAAAUCCUUGGCAAAUACGACCUUAGUUGUUUAUGUAUGUUUAAUCUUUGUUUUUUGUGUGUCAACUAUCUUUCCACGCUUUAGAUGGUUUGUGUUUUGUGUCAGUUUGGUCAUUCAAUCACAUACCUCGAAAUUUCAAUUUAGUUCAUGAAAGUGAAACAUAUUCUGUAAGGAAUGAGUGUAGAUUCAUAUCGAACAUCAUCAUCUUCGAAUUUGAAGGGAUACGAUGGACUCUAAAUAUUUCGGUUUCAAAAAUAUGCAGAAGUGGUCGCCAAUAGAAUCGCCCCCUGCUCAUUUUCUCGUUUGUACAUGCAACAGCAGCCAGAGGACUCAAAUUUUGUUUGAUGCAAAUCCUCAAUCCGUACUGAAAUGAACAUGUAAAAUGUAAUUUUGUUGCAUAAUCAGGACGACAACAAAAACAUAUAUAUAUAUAUUUCCAGUCAUAGGAAUUUCAAUUUACUAAUAAUUUCUAUGACGAAGAAGGGUUUAACCAGAAACCGUAAUCGGUUUCCUGUAAGUCAUGGACCAUAAUGAUUACCCAAUGGCAACGAGCAGACGAUUUAGCCUAUGGCUUACUGACCUUUCAUCAAACUAAGUGGCUUCAUUCAUAUGCAUACAUUACUUAUUCUUCACUGACAAGAGACAACCAAGUUCUCUUCUGGUGGUUUGUUUUCACACAGUCUGCUUCACAGAUUUACAGCGCUGAAGGUAUAUGACGAAGAUCGACAUAGCCAGCCAGGACGGUCCGGUUUCUUUCCUUCACUUUAGUCUGGUACAGGACCCUGCAAAAAAUUUGGAAGCCCUGUCUCAGCUACUCAAAUCGGAGAGAAAUGCGAGUGUCAAUGUUCCCUUCGAGUGAUGAUUGAAUAUACCUUGAUCCUUGAAGCCACAUUUCGGUGAUCAAAGUCUCACCGGGGUAAACAUGUAACAGGAAUCUGCCUAGGAUGUUCUUCACUAUGUUUACGUCUCCUCUACCGAUGCAUUUGAUUAUUGCUCUGACCGCGAAUCCGAGGGAGCACAAUCCGUGCAAUAUUGGACGCGGGAAUCUGCAGUUAGUUUUGGAACAUGAUCAGAUACCAAAUUUUCAGAGUACUUUGAGACCGUGAGGAAUGGAUUGGCAAGGUUACAAACCCUGCAACACUAGCAAUGGCAGGAUCUGAAUGCAAAGGAUUAUAGUCCCCUGACAGCCUAUAUAGCAAUGCCUGCGCAAAAAAAAAAUGAUACGAAAGCCAACAAUCAGUAUCCAAAACCCUCAUACUGUAGUAACAAAACCAUACUCCAUAUGUCACUCAGGGCAGGAAACCUCUCGGAUGUGCUGCAAACUUGCUAUCGAGAAGGGCAUGGUUAGCUGCAAGUCCGUAAUUUAAUAGCUCCAAAGAAUUGGUAUAAAUAUAAUGAUCCUAACAUGUACCACAGUACUAGUGACAAGGUUUGAAGUUACUUGCCUGAGAACGUUGAGUAACAUCCUCAAAUACAGCCGACGGUUGAGUUUUGGGGAUUUUAACUGCACCAACUUGGUCUUUUGGAUACGUGGAAUAUGAAUACGGAUGAGAUGACUUCGAGAACCCACCAGCUCCCCUCAGAUAAGCAGUAGAUCUGCAGACCAGGCAAAAGAUAAUAUCACAGCUCGGCUAAAAGCUAGGUGCAUCAGAAUAUGAGGUGCCUUAAAGAACUCACCUGGUCAUGCAUAGUAGUUCUCCAGAUUCCUUCUCGUAACUCUUUGUCUCAACUUCAACAAUAGCUGCUUUGCCUGCAAGUAUUAAUAUGAAGGUAAAAAAAGAACAUUUAACAACCUCACAAGAACAGCCGAUAGUUUCAAACAAGCCAGGGUAGUUUGAAGAUAUACAAACCUUUGUCAUGCAGACCAGCGAGACUUAUCUUGUUCAGUAGCUGCAUCAUCAACAUAAUCACAAACAGGAAAGUUCAAAGACCGAAAACAACAGACGUAGAUUGAAGAGUCUCUCCACAAUGAACAAACUUACAGAAGCACUCGACGGGAAUGGCUUGUACAUCUCUAUAUACUGCUGCCCGUGCAACAGAAGCCGCGGAUCAUAGCUGACAGAAACAAACGGAUUGUGACUUUUGUGAUUCUGAAUGGAGCAAGGGGAAAAGGACCACUUGUAUGAGUUUCUGAAUGCUUACUCUAAACCCGGAAUAUCCAAACCAUUCACCAUUACUCCAACCGAAAACAAGGUAGAAAAUGUUGGCAGAACCUACCAAAAACGUAGAUGAAAUUACGUUAGCGAUCCAGAGUGACCUCAACAAUUAGUCAACGACGCAGCUAUCGAAUCCCUAAUUCUGAAAUCAUUCCCCUUUAGUUAACAAACUGUUGCUGCGGGAAAAUUAUAUAGCUAAAAAUACCUGGAUAGAGUUUUGACCGUUUUCAUGAUAAACAUACUUGAGCUCGUCAGCAUCGACGGCAUCUCGACCACAAGCUCCGAUUCCGAGAGCGUAAAGAGCAACGUCUCUGUAAGCAGAAAGAGAUUGAUAAAACAACAAAUUCACGGGAGGUGCACAGAAUCAACCCAAAAAAAUAAAAGAGAGAAGUUUACCUCUCCGUGUAAUCGUAAGUCGUCUAGCCAUCCAAACGAGAAAUGACAAAGCAGCAGCGGGAAGAAGAAAAAGAAGAAAACAAUGGGAUUUGAGUGAAUCUUUUUUGUCUGUGAAUGAAAACUAGAACUGAUUCAGAAUUGGUUGCGAGGGUACCUCAGGGAAUCUGUGAGAAGCAACAAGGGCAUGACUGAAUCCUGAUCCGUCCGCCAUAGAAUUAGGAAGGAGGUUUCUAGGCAGUGAGUUGUUUUGAAGGAAGAGUUGCCAGAAAUGAAAUAUACAAGGAGAAACGAAGAAUGACUGGACUUGCUAUAUAGUUAAGUAGUAACCAGUAAUGAGUUACAAUUGAGAAGUACAAUGUAGGGAAUAAGACGUCUUUAACGAUUGAUUCCGAUUAUGAAUUGUAAUGUUAGAUUCUAGGAUUUCUACCUAUCUCUGUUGAGGUAAGUUUUAUUAUAACAGACAUUUUCUGGACAUUUUGAAUCCCAAGAAGAUAACGGAAGGAGAUAAGUUUGAUGAUCAGCUCAGUCUUCACAAUGUUUUUGAUCAUUGAUGCAGUUUGGUUAGGUAGAGCCGUGGAAGAAAAGGCAUCCAACCUCUUGAACAUUCAUAAGUCUAAUUAGAUUGGAGAUCAAACGUGUAGAAACCUUUUACAAUUGCGAGUAUAACAGGAGUGAAGAACACAAAGAAAGAAUUAAUAAUGCGACCUCGAGCUGAGGACGUCGUUACAUCAACUGGUUGGUCUCAAAUGGUACAAACAACAGAGCUUCCUGCCUCCAACUUCACAAUUUACCCUAAUCAACAAAUCAAUCUUAUCUUCCUUUCCUCUUUUACUACCUCAAAUCUCAGCAUAUAUUAUUACCAUAAGCACUGCGUCGUAGCUAACUUGUUGGGUUUUUUUUUACAUCGGACGUGUGUGUCGGCCGGCAGCUCUGCCGCAAAGAAGUGCGUUCUUAGGAAUAGGGUACUCGUCCCUGAGUGAAGUCGACGUCGUGAAAACCCUCAGAUAGAACUGUUGACCAAGGUACUGUCGUGCCCAGUACUCGGACCUCAAGUUCCACAUUCCCACGUUGUCUAGCGCUAUAUAGAUUGCACUCCAUGAAUUUGGAUAUACCUGUCAAAAACCAAUGUUCACCCGCAAACUUUAGACACGAGAACUCAACCUGGAUUCAUAAAGUUGAACAUAUAUGGAAAUCUGGGAAAUAUUUGUAUUCAAAGUGUCAUUUUGGUUUAAACUUUUACCUGAACAGUGCUUCUAGAGACGGCAUCCCUUAGAUUGUACUGGUUCCUGUUGGCACUUGUCCAUUUUCCUCCAUCCAUUCUGCAUCCCAAUUAUUGCCUCAUAAUUUAGAACCAAAACUACAUAAAAUUAAAAUGAAGAAACAGAUCACCAAAUGAUAUAGAAUGGAGAUUUACCCGACGACCCAGAAGCUGUAGCCAUUGAGGUGCCAACUCUGAACAAUGUUCUCGGUGUUCUGGAACACAAUCUCUAUGAAUGUUCUGUAGUCAACUGUCAAAACGGAGGUGUCUAGGUAGAUGCCACCACCGUUAGGCCUAUCGGAGAUGCUGUUCUCCUUGAAAACACCUUGGAUUUUGAAGUAGUCGGCCAGCUUCAACGGAGUGUCCGCUGGAAUGAACGACACGCUGUUCACGGCGUAUCUCUGCUUGCGGUUCACUUGUCCAGCUGAGUUCGCCAAGACGAUUGUCCGACUCGUGUUGAUCAUACCGUAGUGGUAAGACCCCUGUGGGUUGGGCCUCGGCCCACUUGCUGUCAAAUUAGUCCUGAUGGAGCGGGCCUGGUUGAGGGACCAAUCGAUCUGAUCGGUUGGGCCACCGGGCGGUGGGCCGGAUACUGGGCCGGCAGAGUUGCUGUAGUGAAGAACGCCAGUGGUAGUGAUGACCGGAGUUGUCCAGCGAGAUGAUACCACGAUGUAGUAGUCCUUGCCGGGCUGGUCGGCGGUGAACAGAACGGAGUAAGAUUGACCGAGGUGGACGUCCAAGGAAGAGUAGGUGGUCUGGAGAGUGUGAGUUCCUUCCACUUCGACCAGCUUCAUCUUGUGGUUUUGGAUGCGGAAAUUGAGCGAGUUUUGCAACCCAACGUUUGAAAUUCUCAGCCUGUAAGUCUUGCCUGAAACAAGUUAAAUGUAAAUUAUCAACGGCAAAGCAAAAUAGGAGGAGUUAUUUAAGAUGCUAUUCCUUUUGUGUGUAAGUUACCUGGCUGGACGGGAAGGGAGUAGCCGUUAGAUCCUCGGCCAUUGAUGAGGAUGCCAUUUACAAGAGGCAACCUAUGGCCACCAUCCAAGACGCGCUUCAAGGUCUACAAUUCAAAACAAAUGUUUAUAAAUUCAACUCGAGCAAAGUAUUUCGUAUUUAUCUUUAUAAUCCAAUGCAAUAUAAGUCCACACAUAGAAGUUAUUUUUACUGUUUAACAAGGAUAUUUGUUUCAGUAUUUGAUAGCAUGAGCACUCUGUUGGACAAAGCAUUGGAACUUAAGAUAUUGCGUAAGCAACAGUCUAUUUCAAGCAACUCUGUGCUGGCCAAAAGACUAGAAUUGACGUUUUUGGAUGUAAAUAAAAAAAUAUGUAAUAAUGGAUCCAUAUGAGAUGAUGGCGUCCAAAAGCAACAACAAAACUAACAUGAAAUCAGGUAAAAAACCACGGCCUGGGAAAAUGCUGAACAACUGUCCCUUCUCAUAAUGUGAAACAGAUUCGAAGCACAAGAGAACAAGUAGCUGUCAAAAGAUGGUUAUUAUAUGGGAUUUGGUUCUGUUCCAGUUGACUAAACGACAAUCAAGAAACUACUGUAAUGCCAAGACCAGUAUAAAAUCAUAAUUAAUUAAUUUUUUUGUAAAAACUGAAACUUUACCAGCUAGAAAUGAUUACUGAAAGAUUUACCGUGUGAUUAGCCUUGUACCAAUCUCCGAUGAGAACGGUGAAGUCACCGUCGGGGUCAGAAAAUGGAACAGGGAUCCCGGGACGGCUGAGGAUUCUGAUCCCUCCGAAUCCACCCACUGCCUUGUGGAAUCCAAGUGAAGGGAAGUAGUAGAAACUACCGAUCUGGUCCUUUGCUUGAAGAAUGUAGGUAAAGUUCUUCCCCGGUGGGAUUGGACAAGUGGUUCCGUAUACCCCAUCCUCGUAUGAAUUUCUCCUCUGUUGCAUCCCAUUCCUAUACAAAUAACAAACCUUUUGGCUCGUUAACUAAAUAACAAACCUUUUGCCAAUUUAUCAGUCUCUUAUCUGCUCUGUUAUACAGAAGUGGAAAGUGGAAACUCGACUAAUUCUGGCAAGACCAAAAGGUUAUACUUUGUCCAAUCUAUAUUACACCAUUACAGGCAUUAAAUGCGCCUAAGCGUCGUGUCAACUAAAUGUCUGUGAGCUGGAUGGCGGGCUCAAAUGGUUAACUAUGGGGGACAGCUAGAAAUAGUAAUGGAUGUUCUACAAGAAAUAGAAACAGUCAAAGAUGAGCAAAUGUUUGACAAAAAAAGAGGAAAAUUAAAUUGCGGUACCAAUUGCGAAAUACACAAGACUACAUUUUCCACCGCCUUAACUAACUGGCCAUGACUGAGGAAGUCGUUUUUCACCAAUAUGAUAUCACUACUUGAACUGUUUUUACAGGAAAAGUAACGUGUGUAGCUGAACUUCCAUGAUAAUUGGCUCUGCUUGUUGAUGAAUUAGAAAAAAGAAAACUGCGUAAUUAAAGAAUGCCGAUGAAUAUACUACUGUUACUUCAGACGCAAUUAAUUCAAACAGAGGAGAUCCAUCACCUAUUCACCAUCAUCCUGACAUAACUACGAAAGAAAAACGUAGUUUAUCAAUUUAAACACUAAGCUGUUUGCUCACGCAUCCACUGUGAUGGCGGCCGACGGAAUACUACAGCGGUGAUUGGUUGGUGGUGCGGUAUUAGUUAAAGGGCUAAAAGAAUGCAGAUCUGGAGUUUGGAAAAAAAGCGGGAUCCAGCAGUUAGCACUUUCCUCGAAAAGCAGAUCACGAGCCAAUUAUGAUAUCCUCAUUUAGUAAUCGAAAGCAAUGCUAAACAGAAUAAAUAUUAUGCAGAGCUUAACAAGCCGCGUGGAGGUUGGAUCAGAUUUGAGAAUAUCAAUGUGGGAAAAAAAACAUAAAUGGAAUAUCGGUUCAAGAAUUACUUUCCAUCAAUUUUCCAGAUCGGGAAAGUUCACAAUCAAGAAGAAAAUCAACUGUGUGGACAUAGACAGCAGAAGGAUAACGAAUUGUAAAAGCAAGAAAGACUGCAGAUACAGAAAGAUGUGUAGAAUUAGGUUUACCAAGAAAGAAGGAAAGGCUCGUCCAAGCUAUUGAUGACAUUGAUAAUGAUAUUAUCGUUGGUAACGCAGUGAAUGUCAGGUCCAGGGAACUGGCCGUUGAUUAGAAUGCCCUGUUUGAUUUCCAUGAAAAUAAAACGUAUUCAGAGUAAGCUCAAGAUUCGAAAUCGGAAGGUUUCUUGAGAGACGAAGGGACUCACUCUUUGGCGUACUCCGAGAGGGUAAAUGUCACCAUAAGUGACGUUCCAAUUGAAGAAACGGUAUGGACUCUCGGCUCCGACGAGGGAGAAGAGAGACAAAGCGGUAGUAGCUAGUAGUAGGAUCGAGUGAGAUCCGGCUAAUUUCUGCAGCAUUUUGGCCGGAGGUAUCAAUGCAGCAAGGGAUUUUUGCGUUGUUGGUGUACUUUGAUUUUCUCCAAGAGAUUUUGUUCAGUUGGGAUACAGGGAGCGAGAAAAUGAGGGAGCAGGAAAAGGGAGGGAAUGAUGGAGGAUGGAGGGGCUGGGUGAUGGCGCGGUAUAUAUAAUCCAGUGCUGUGCGGAUUACAGUAGGGAUCCGCGUAGGAAUGCGCCGCGGAAACGGAAAUGGCUUUCUCUUUUUAUUUUAUUUUUGAAAUUUUAAAUCUAAUUUUGAAUUUUUGAAAAGGAGAAACAAAAGAAAAUGAUGCGAAAAGGAGUUGUCGGUGGUGGGACCCUAGCCGCGUAUCAGCACUACGACUCAACAAUUUGAUCUGGUUUUUCCAUUAACGACAAAUUCAUUUUUUAACCAAACUCAAUUUAGUUAAUUUUCAAACUUUGUAAGUUCUUUUUGUGUGAAUUAUUUGCCUAGAAAUAAACUUUGAUCUUAUUAACAGAUUGUUCAGUAUUUGAGAUCUAAAAUGUGAUUUCCUUAACCGGUUGUGAUUAAUUGCGGAGAUUUAAGAUAUGAAAUUAGUUUUGAUUAAUUGUGGAGAAUUACUAUGUUUUUAAGUAAUAUUUUUACAAAUUGUUACGGUUUGUGUUUUACUUUGUAUAAUUCGUAUACUAUAUCCUUGAUAACACAUUUAUUUAUUAUUUUAUUCAAAUCGUAUUAAUCAUCAAUGACGGCCUCAAGAUUCUCCCUCUUCCACAAAAAUCUACGAGUUUAGCAAUGGCAGCUUCGAAAACUUCUCUUUUUGUUGAUUCGCUUUUCAAAAAACUCGUAUCGUAUUGAUGACUAAUAUGAUAAGAGUUAUUUUAAAAGACUAGUAACUACAUCUUUUUUAAAAGGGUUUAUUAUUCCAAUUAUAUUAAAAUACGGACUGCACGAAGUGAAAUACGAAUUGUAUAUAAGAACACCGUAUAUAACAAAAAUUUAUCUUCUAUAGUUCCAUUGAAAACCUUAGUAUAGGUUUGUGUAGCUUAGACUCGUAAAAGCAGCUCCUUUAUAACAAUUAAGAGUAGAUUGAGCAAGAUAUAAAAAAAAUUACAAAAUGAGAAAUUAAUGUUACAGGAUCCAAUAGAAAUUAAGAAUAAAAACCUCAAAUUAACACGUAAUAUAAUGUAAUUACAGUCGUAAUAGGUGCCAAUUUGAGGUUAGAGUAUCCACGGGAACAUUCUCAAAUAGAAUGUGAAGAAAAGAAAACAAAAAAUGGGCUGAGAAUUGAGGUUUGUGUCCAUUGUGUUUGAUCGUGUUAAGGGUACGUAAGUGGGUUGGCUUUUGUAGUUGCCUCCAAAGUUCACAUGGUGGGUUAGGGAUGGCAGUAGGCGGGAUUUCAAAUGAGGUGCGAUUUAGAAUCACUCAGAUGGGCAGUUUGUUUGGACGCGAGAUAACAUGAAAGUGCAUGUGACUGACCGAGUAUUCAUUAUUGUGACACUCAUCUGGGCUCUUGCGGCCCCUCCAGUGCUCAACUCCCCCCAUCAACAACUCUUCUCUCCACAGCGCCUUGCUUUGCUUCUACGUCUGUACUUCCCUGCAUUUCAAAUAGUGAAUCAAGAAGAAGAUGAAUUAGGAACCCGUACAAAUGUUCAACUCCAAGUACCCGAUUUAGUUCGUCUGCAUAUCUGUCGUAUCAAUGUAUGUCACAAAAAUCCUUUACGUACAGAACUGUCACAUGAUCCGAUAGUCACUUUCAUGUAAAUGUUUUGGACGAUCACUCCGACUAUCAACCCAUUACAUUGUUGUAUAUACAUGGCAGAGGACACUGACGUACGUCCUAUCCCAGGUGUGCUUGCUUACCAAAUUUGUUGUUACCUUGGAUAGUAUUAAGUAGAUUAAUGUGGCAUUGAGGGACAUUACUAAAUGGAUACCAGGCAAAGAAAAGGGCAAAUAUAGAAAGGAACUUAAAAAUCAAUCUGCCAUGAUUAGCACCGGAUUUUUCCAGGCUGCUUCAGUGCCUUGAGCCCUUCACGCAGUACGCAUAUACAGUUAUGUAAAGUCAACAUCAUCGUAGCUGGAAAUAGGUUAAUAUUUUGAAUAUGAACUUAUAAGGAAAGACUAAUGAAUCCAUUUUCUUAUAGAACUUAGAAUCGGAUGAGCAUAUCCUUGUCAUUAAAUGCCUUAACAAGUCAAAGGGUAUCAUUUGGGUUUUGCAAAAAGAAAGACACAAUAGGUCACGAGAAUGAUUAGAUUAUUCAAACUUAUAAAAAAAAAAGGAACUAUCAGAGGAAUUAAUUUGAACGAUGUAUCAUUGGACAAGAAUUGGGGAGAGCAUGUUCAGACCGCAGACUGGGAGGUGAGUGGUUAUUUAUUUUUAUCUGUGACAGUUGUGACAAAUAGUAAAAAUAAUAAUGAAACAACAGGUGGUGUGGAGGAAUCACAUGAUGAUAAUGAUAAAUCUAAGGUCCACACGGUAUAUUAGUUAGUUAAACACCCUUUUAAAACGAAAAUAAAAGGGGCAAUAAGACAGAUGGUCAACAAGAUUUGAGAUUGCAACUUGCAAGAGAUGUCAAACUUAGCCAGCCAGGAGCUCAAAUUUGCAGGGAAUGGAUUGUGUAAGCAUUUCUGGAAAUCAGUUAGAUACCUCAGGGAACAAGAAAACACUCAUUGCGUAUUAGAUGGACCUAGGCUAAGCGAAGUUCUAAUCUGCAGUUCAGGUUGAAGAUGAGUACAAAUGUGUACAGAGAUGUCGACUUUGGUUUCGGAUUAAACCGGAAAUGAACAAACAAGAACAAAAUGACAUGACACCCACGAGAUAUUCUGCUUCCACAUUAAAUGAAUAAUAACGUGUGUACAGUCAAUAUCAAACUACACAUGCCAGCCAGACAAUUGCAAGUCGAUAUUUGAGCAUUUAUUUACUAUUGUUUCCUUACCUGUUGUAUCCGAGUCGCAGUUCAGAAUUCACUCCAAAUAUAACUUUCCAGCCUUUCCAGUUUCCAUCUUGAUAGUCAUUUAUCUGGAAAAAGACAGGAAAGCUGUCACAACGGUAAAGCACAAGUGUCAACAAACCUUGCAAUACAAGCAUAAUGAAUCAGGAAUUCUGUGAUCUGUUUCACAACAAUAAUACCAAAUUUCUUCCCUGUCCCUCCCUUGUACGCAUCAUCAAGGUUAACUAAGAUCCAUCAUCAUAUCAGACCCAAAAAAAACUGCAAUGUUCAUCACAUCAUGGAAAGUAAUAAUAGAGAUCAAUUUUCUGGCGUCAAUCAAGGUGAGAUUAGAAAAAUAUAACGACUAAUGAUGUAAGACCCCCACACCCGUAACUAGUGGGGAUGCCGUGUCAACUCCUUUCCCUUGUGCCAGUUUUCACUUUUCCUGAUGGCUGGCAGAUAAUGUGUUGGAUACAACAGGGGUAACUGGCUUGGAUUUAGCUAACUCCAAAGCCAAAAUAUCUACUGUGUUUCCGGACCUCAUUCCUGCAUUGGCCAAACAAAUCAAAAGUUGAACACUUGAACUGAAAGAAAACGAACAUGAAGUAUCAAACGAACAUGAUGACUUGUGUAGAGCCAACUGCCAGGCAGAAGGCUACUGUUCAAUUCACUCACCAUUGCUCUCCGGAUCAGCAUUCAGGUGUUCACUCAAGAUAAUCUUCUGCCCUUUCUUUUAUCUAUCUGUAAUAAAAGAAAUUACAAACAAACCGCCCAAUACAAGAAUAUGAGACUGAGAAAAAAAACGAUCUGUGUCCAAAUUUUAGGCUCAUGCUAUCACUUUUGGGUUUUUUAUUUGCAAGUAUUCAACUGCUCCAUCCAUUUGUCUUCUGAAACUCAAUACAGAACAACUCCAUGAGGAUAACACUGCAAAUAAAUAUCGACAUUGACCAAAAACUUGCCUACUUGUCUUCAGAGAAAGAUGCUGUUUAAAGGUAAACAAGUCAAUAACAAAGAGACGACACUACGCAAUGUACACGUUAUAGCCAAGUACUCAUAUAACCGUCAAUUUGAAAAUGACAAAUCGGAUUAAUAGUUUAAUAUACCUUCCAUAGGAUAGUUGCAACAAUUCUUCUCUUCCACAGAUAAUCUGAACCUGAAAAGCCAAUCAAAUCUGCAAUCAAAUCUUCCACAGAGUAGAAUGUUGGGGAAUAUUUCACCUGGAAUGUAGCUCAUCCGUUACGCGGUUUUUUCGUGAAUAGAAUCAGACUCAACGAUCUGCAACUUUCACCUACUCAAGUGGGCGAUGAAUGACAGUGCUAUCUAUGAAAGCCCCAACCUUGGAAACCGGCAGCUGCGACGGAAGGGCAGAGGCUGUUAUCCAUUGCAACGUGAGAAACGGUGAAUUCAAGAGGAAACCCUGAACGACGCCGUUAGGUAUUAUUUAAAGCCCAAAUCGCUGGAAAGCCCCCAUCGCAAACAAACUUGGUCUCAGUUAUAAAGCCCAUUAAGGUAGGCUUGAAAAUAGAUGUUGGGCUGAAACAAUUAUUUAGACAGCCCAGCUAUUCCAUGGAUAAAUUAAACCUCUUUCACACAGGGGAAUAGUAGGUACACUUGGUUCAAAUCUAACACUCUAAUGGUUCAUUUCUUAUUAGUUUCAGAGUAAUCCGACCUUAGAAGUUAGAUCAAAUUCAAAUGGAAUGUUGAUGUUAAAAAUUUUGGGUCAAAUACUCAAUUACUCCUGCAAUUAUGGGGAAAACUACAUAUCAGUUCUGUUCAUUAUGUUCGUAAACUCUCAACAUAUUAUCACUAUAUUUGUUGAGAUCAUCCAUUCUAUCUUUGAAAGAAUUAUUCGAUCAACUUUAAAUAUUGAUUGAGAUCAUCCAUUCUGUUCAGAGUUGCGAACUAGUUCGAUCAAAUAACUAAAGUCUUCUAGUUCUUUCAUAUGGGAUCUUGCAAUGUGUUUUAGGAAUGGGUGCUGCGUGGAGGACGGCAGAUGUGGAGAAAGGGUCGACUGUGGUCAUCUUUGGUCUUGGGUCAAUUGGCUUGGCGGUAAGAACUGUUUGAAGGGAAAAGUUUGUUCAAUUACGUUACUGAGAUGGUCUGACAUUUUUAUUGGUUCCUAAACUGGUGGAACUAUUGGUAUUGAUACGUGGUGCUGGAAGAAUUAUUGGUGUGGAUAUGAAGCCAGAAAAGUUUGAAAUCGGUUAGAAUUUAUUAGCUGAAAUUCUUGGUCCUAUACAGUAUUGAAAUAUGAAGAAUUGACUGUCAACAUGCUCAGAGUGGAUUGUGAUGUCCAGUUUUGGCCUGUUCUUGAUUUCUAUCAUGCAGGGAAGAAGUUUUGAAUCACAGAGUUUGUCAAUCCUGCAGAUUAUGGAGACAAAUCCUUGAGCCAGGUUAGCUACUCCAAGGCAAAUCAUUCACCUCGCUAGUUUUCAUUUAAUAAUUGAUUGAUGAUUUCAUGACAAAAAACUGAACAAAAGACCAAGUUCUACAAGAAUGUAAAAAGAAUAAACAAAGAAAAACCAAAAUGCCUAUGUCGUGUUGCAAGGGCUUUAUUCAUCUUGGUAGUUAAUUCUAAUCUCUAACCAUCCUCUAAAUGAGCUUGAGAUUUUAACAAAAACUCGCAUUUGUACAGAUAUUUACAGUCACUUAAUUAACAAAUUAACUCUUUGAUAGUUUUUAUGAUAAACGGGAGAUUCCAAUAAGCCCCGAGAAUGGAAAAUCCACUACUGUAUUUUCGUGUAAAUGAUACUAAGAGCAAGAGAUCGAGCAUUCUUCUCCAGCAUAGCAGAGCUCGUUGGCUCUGUUACUGCAUCUUAGUUAUGUUUUUGAGGGGUUCAAUCUAGGGUCUAUAGGUUGUGGUUAAUUUUCGAUGUCCCUCUAGUAUUUCAGAGUAUCUUUACAUGUGUGCCUGGUGACGCUAACAGAAGUAAAUUGAAGCAGGUGAUCAAUGAGAUGACAGCAGGUGGUGCAGACUAUUGCUUUGAGUGUGUUGGUCUGCCGUCUUUGAUGGAGGAAGCAUAUGCCUGUUGCCGCAAGGUCGGUUUCAAAAACAACAUAUUUCCCUCUUAUCCUGCCUCCUGUGUCUAUUAUUACCAAUGUUGUUCAUUAUAGUCCUUUUGGCUGUGGUAAUAGCCAGUGGUGGGGAAAGACGAUUGUCCUGGGAGUUGCCAAACCGUUGUUUGAGAUUAAGCUGAAAUGCUCCAACGUCCUUCACUCUGGGAAAACACUCACAGGCUCACUCUUUGGAGGUCUCAAACCGAAAUUGGAUAUCACAAUGCUCCUAAAACAUUAUGUGAACAAGGUGUGAACUUGUGUCCCUCCUCCCUUCCUCAUUCAAAUGAAAACCACCUUAAAAUAUCUCUGAGAGGAUCAUAUCGGUCUGGUAUUCGGUACAAGUAUAAAACAUCAAGUGUAGAUUUGAACUCCUGGGUGCCAUGACUUAAAUCUACAAAAGUACCUACAACUCCGGAGGUGGUCUUACACGUUAGUACUUAUUCAUUCAUUGGAUGGCAGGAGCUUGAGCACAAAAAUCGAUAACGAAAACCAGAGUACGUCUUAGGACAAACUUACAUACAUAAUAAAACACAAAUUAUUAAUAUGCAGCAGUGCCACAUACUACACAUGAUCGAAGGGAAAACGCAAAGCCAGACGAUACAGAGCAUCAUGGACUCUAGCUAUAAACCAAAAGCAUACAUAAAAGCAGUAACACUUAUUUAAAACACAGCAACUUCACAUCGAUCAUCACAUAGUUGGAUAAUGGAUCUAGUAGGAGGGUGGUUUCUCAUUGUCCUUGUGACCAGCUUCCUCUGCCUUAGGGUGAUACCCAGGCAGCUUCUCCUUAAUCUUGUCCAGUAACCCCUUCUUCUCCUCCUCUGGAGCCAGCGGGUGAGCAGUCGCCACGUCAUUAUGAUGGUCAACCCCAUGACCAGCAGCAGCAGCAGCAGCAGAUUCCUCAGUCUUCUUCUCACCACCAGGAAGCUUAUCCUUGAUCUUGUCCAUCAAACCCUUCUUCUCUUCAGGCUGAUGAUGAGGACCGCCAAGAGGCCCUUCCUCCUUCUGCAGCUUCUUCUUCUUGUCCUUCUUCCUCCUGAUCUUCUCCCCUCCUUCCUCCACCUCUUCCU